UAGAAGCACAUGCUUCAUCGGUCAAAGAUUUAUCGGUCAGGGAUGGGCCUGCGUCUGAUUAACUAGUUGGUGAGGUAACGGCUCACCAAGGUGACGAUCAGUAGCCGACCUGAGAGGGUGAUCGGCCACAUUGGAACUGAGACACGGUCCAAACUUCUACGGAAGGCAGCAGUAGGGAAUCUUGCACAAUGGGCGAAAGCCUGAUGCAGCAACGCCGCGUGAAGGAUGAAGGCCUUCGGGUUGUAAACUUCUGUUCUAAGGGAAGAAACAAAUGACGGUACCUUAGGAGCAAGCCCCGGCUAACUACGUGCCAGCAGCCGCGGUAAUACGUAGGGGGCAAGCGUUAUCCGGAAUUAUUGGGCGUAAAGAGUGCGUAGGUGGUUACCUAAGCGCAAGGUUUAAUUUAGAGGCUCAACCUCUACUUGCCUUGCGAACUGGGCUACUUGAGUGCAGGAGGGGAAAGCGGAAUUCCUAGUGUAGCGGUGAAAUGC
rnacentral:rRNA from 1 species